rnacentral:rRNA from 1 species
CAGGCCUACGGGGCGCAGCAGUGGGGAAUAUUGCACAAUGGGGGAAACCCUGAUGCAGCGACGCCGCGUGAGUGAAGAAGUAUGUCGGUAUGUAAAGGUCUAUCAGCAGGGAAGAUAAUGACGGUACCUGAGUAAGAAGCCCCGGCUAACUACGUGCCAGCAGCCGCGGUAAUACGUAGGGGGCAAGCGUUAUCCGGAUUUACUGGGUGUAAAGGGAGCGUAGACGGCAUGGCAAGUCUGAAGUGAAAGCCCGGGGCUCAACCGCGGGACUGCUCUGGAAGCUGUAAAGCUGGAGUGCAGGAGAG